AAUUAGGAUUCGGAGCAUCCCUUGGCAGCCGGGCUACCUGAUGGCUGUCUUUGAUUUUGAUAACCUCUACCCCUCUUUGCAGCUAGAGCCAGUAUGUCUCGCUUUCUACAAAUUUUUGUUAGCCAAUUUACCACAUGCUCAAAGACGAGCCUCCCUACUCCGAGAUAUUGCUCACCUGUUAUGUCACAGGUCUUAUUUCAUGUUUAGAGGUACUUUACUACCAACAAACUACAGGAAUACCUAUAGGCAGCCCCCUUGCUGCCCCUUGCGAAGUUGAUUUUAAGGGAAAUAGAAAGUUCAAUACUCCC
rnacentral:lncRNA from 1 species